CAAGUAGGAAACGGAAGAUCACUGCUCACUGUCUGCAUAUAGACUCUGGCCUCGUUUCUCAAAGCCAGAGGCACCUACACAAAGAAUGUCUGUCAAUCCAGAGUGGCGAAGAACCAACUGUACUGGUUUUUAACAUUUCCCUGUGGGAACGAAACCUAGCAAAUUAAUGAUAUCCUCUGCAAUGGAGUACGGAGAAAAUCCACUUUUCCAUUCUUACUUGCCACAGAGCUUGGGAGAAUCCAGCCAAUUAAUGGUACAAUCUCUAUUAGAGGUAAAAUGAAGGAGUUGCAGUGUGAGGGCAGAUGUGAUGUCUAUGGAGCUACAACCAUCCUGCAACCAGAAGGAAAGAGGCUAAAGUUUCCAGGAGCCAUGAGGAACAUAAGAAUAGAGCCAACUGAGAGGGCUUAUGAGCAGUGAGAUGGAUCUUGGUGACAUAGUUAAUACCUGGAUCAAGCUAUGCCUGAAGCUAGUUAACCAUGUACUUUUCAAUUACACCAACCAACAAACUCUUUUUACGUAAGUCAAUUUAAGUUGGGUUUUCUGUUCCUUAUAAAUAGAAGAACACUGAGGGAUACCUAGAUUCACUAUGUAGAUGCUGGUUUAUAGGCUAAGUCUCUGAUUGAGAGGCCUACCUUCUCCUGCAACACAGAUACAUGGUACUGUAAAAAUUGUGCCAUCUUGAAGAUGACAAGUAGACACUAGCAGAAGUCCUUUAAUAGCUGAUCCCUUUUGUAACCUC
rnacentral:lncRNA from 10 species